CCUACGGGAGGCUGCAGUGAGGAAUAUUGGUCAAUGGACGAGAGUCUGAACCAGCCAAGUAGCGUGAAGGAUGACUGCCCUAUGGGUUGUAAACUUCUUUUAUAUGGGAAUAAAAUGUUCCACGUGUGGGAUUUUGUAUGUACCAUAUGAAUAAGGAUCGGCUAACUGCGUGCCAGCAGCCGCGGUAAUACGGAGGAUCCGAGCGUUAUCCGGAUUUAUUGGGUUUAAAGGGAGCGUAGAUGGAUUGUUAAGUCAGUUGUGAAAGUUUGCGGCUCAACCGUAAAAUUGCAGUUGAAACUGGCAGUCUUGAGUACAGUAGAGGUGGGCGGAAUUCGUGGUGUAGCGGUGAAAUGCUUAGAUAUCACGAAGAACUCCGAGUGCGAAGGCAGUUCACUGGACUGCAACUGACACUGAGGCUCGAAAGUGUGGGUAUCAAACAGGAUUAGAUACCCGAGUAGUC
rnacentral:rRNA from 1 species